CGUUUGACAUGUUUGAACGAACCUACAUGCGCGAGCAUUGCUUUUAUUCUGAACUUCAGAGCUGCGCUUGGAGAGAGCCAUAGGACGCGCUACCAACAUCAGGCUAAUGGAACGUGAAGUAUGGACUUUUUGACCGAAAAUACAUCUGUUGUGGACCUGGGAUGCUUUCUGAUGAAGACAACUAAAGUUAAAUGAUGGAGAGACGCUGCAAUCCUUUCUUCUCAAUUAGCUAAGGGAGUGUGUUCAAAACAAUGUGCAGCCCCACAGUGAAUUUCCAUGAGAUCUUGAGAUGAAGUCUAACUGGUAAUUUGGCCUGUCCAAUGGGCAUCUUAGAUGGCUAAAACCAAGGAGUCUAGUGGUAACGAUGCAUUCUGCCCUUUACUUUCUAAUUCUCUCUCUCCCUUCUUCACAUCUACUUCUCCUCUCUGUCUUAUUCUGCACACCCCACUGUCUCUCUCUGUCUUUCAUUAAUCCUUCUUCUCCAGCACCCAAUCAGUUCUGACUGCACUGCAUACU
rnacentral:lncRNA from 1 species